rnacentral:piRNA from 1 species
UAGAAUGGCCUGGAAGUUUUUCAUUCUGU